GAUGAACGCUGACAGAAUGCUUAACACAUGCAAGUCUACUUGAUUCUACUUCGGUAGUUGAUGGUGGCGGACGGGUGAGUAACGCGUAAAGAAUCUGCCCUUUAGUUUGGGAUAACCUUUGGAAACGAAUGCUAAUACCGAAUAUUAUGGAGAUGUCGCAUGACGACUUCAUGACAGCUAUAUGCGCUAGAGGAGGACUUUGCGUCCCAUUAGUUAGUUGGUGAGGUAAUGGCUCACCAAGACCGCGAUGGGUAGCCGGACUGAGAGGGUGAUCAGCCACAAGGGAACUGAGACACGGUCCUUGCUCCUACGGGAGGCAGCAGUGGGGAAUAUUGGACAAUGGACCACAAGUCUGAUCCAGCAAUUCUGUGUGCACGAUGAAGGUCUUCGGAUUGUAAAGUGCUGUCAGUAGGGAAGAAAAAAAUGACGGUACCUACAGAAGAAGCGACGGCUAAAUAUGUGCCAGCAGCCGCGGUAA
rnacentral:rRNA from 1 species